rnacentral:rRNA from 1 species
UACAGAGGGUGCGAGCGUUAAUCGGAAUUACUGGGCGUAAAGCGCGCGUAGGCGGCUUUGCAAGUCGGGUGUGAAAUCCCCAGGCUUAACCUGGGAACUGCAUUCGAGACUGCAUUGCUAGAGUAUGGGAGAGGGAGGUGGAAUUUCCGGUGUAGCGGUGAAAUGCGUAGAUAUCGGAAGGAACAUCAGUGGCGAAGGCGGUUACCUGGAGCUUUGCUGACGCUGAUGCGCGAAAGCGUGGGGAGCGAUCCGG